UCACACUGACAAUGAUGUAAAGACCAAAACGGGAUGAUAGCACUAAUAACUGAUCUGCUCAAAACGAUAAAACAUUUUGAUAUCAGUAAUUCCUAACAAAGCAUAACAAAGAAAAUAAGUUACCUUCCUACAAGGUACUUUGUAUUGUACGAAUUUCGAUGAAAAAAUAAAAAAAAAAUACAAACAAUCUGUGCGUACAGCCUAAACUGCACAGGAAGUCAUUUACAGAAAAAUAAAACUGAUCCAUCUGCAAAUUAAAAUAAAGUUUAAAAUUGACUAAACCUCAAGAUUGCAAGUUCAAGUUCAUGUAUUUUUUGCGUUGAAUAAACCAGUAUCUUGCCAUGCAUAACCUUCUGCUUUUAGUAAUAAUAUUGUAGUCGGCGAAGCAGCUCGUGUGUGGCCGCCGCUAUGUUGCAACUAAUUGUGUACAGUUUACUGAUAUUCCUCACUUGUUUAGCAGUAUUUGAUAUAAUAAGACUCUGUACGUAUGAUGAUGAGGCGUCUAAAAGAAAACUGAGAAUAUGGUCCGCUCCAUAUGAAGCGGUAAAGAACUCUCUCAAAGGUAUGAAGACCCUGAAAGAGGAGGUGCCUCCACCAGGUCCUGACUCCAAACCGUACACCAUUUCUGAAACAGUCUGAUGGAGAAGAAGAGCAGAUUUCCACUGCAGGUUGAUCUUCUGAGAGAUGAAUGAAUAUUAUCAUUAUUUUGUUAAUUUUAGUUUAUAAACGAUCUAUGUUACCUUGUUUAUCUAGAUAUAUCUACGGAUAAAUAUUAAUCGUAUGGUGUUAACAAUACGUGGUUUUAUGAGCGAUAUGUAUUUUUAUAAAUCUUACUUGUGUAGCGCUAUUUUUUUUGUGAUGUACUCAGUCAAAGUUUUAGCAUAGACUUAACUCGAUGUGAUUCCGUGAUCUUAUCUAAAUAAAAAUAAAUAAAUAGAAAAAUGUUAUACCUGCAGCUAGUUUAUGAGCUUACUAAAUUAAAAUUUCCGUUCAGUCUUAAGUGGAUUCUAAAUAAAAACGGAUGAUAGUCAUUUUAAAAAGUUUGCAUUUUUGUCUUCUUGUUAUUAUCUAAUAAGCGUCAGAUUUAAUCACCCUAGAAGCAAUAAUGUCCGAGUUUGUUUUGGUGUGACCGCAAAAUAGGAUACCUACAAAUAAAUGAGUUUAAAAAAUAA